rnacentral:lncRNA from 1 species
CACUUUUCUCAAGGUACAUAAGUCUGCGCUGGGCUGAGCCUUCCAGCCUGGGGUAUGUAUGUAAGAGAAUUUAUGGACAAAUCUGUGUCCCGGCUUUGUGCUUCUCCCGAAUCAGCUUCGUUUGGUUCCUUGGUAAGUGACAGGCAGACACAAAGGCAGGCGCAGGCCCGGGGAGGGGGCGGGAGGGGGUGGGGAGCGCAGCGUUGAGAGUUGCAAGACUGCAAGGUCAGGGGCGCCGAAAGAAAUGAAACCCAGUCCCAGCAAAGAAGUGAAGAGCAGAUUUGUAACAGUCCCAUCCAAAUUUUUCUUUUGGCCUCUCUCUUUGGUCUUUCAUCUCUCUGCCUUUCUCUCUGUGUCCCCUCUCUUUUCUUCUCUCUCAUACACACACACACACACACACAGGCACGCACAGACUCCUCGCAUCUUGCUGAAUCUUUUCACUGGGACUGCUUGUCUAGUUUUAUUAAGCUAACAGGGUUUCUAUGGAGAGUUUUCUACCUAUGACAUAAUAAAGUGUGGCCUAGAUAGACUCCUGGAAAGGCCGCAAAUGAAAUAUAAGUGUUACUUGCUGGUUAUUCCCCUCAUGAUAUACUUUUAAUUACAUUGAGUGAGUUCUCCCUUCUUCAUCUAAUGUUUGGGAAUUGAGAAAAGGCUUAUUUUCCAGCGGUAAAAUUUAGUGAAAUAUUUAUAUAUUUUACCUGUUUAGGGAGUGGAAUACAUUCAUGAAUUUAAUAUCUCAAAUCACACAUUGUGCUUUUUCGCCUUCAAUCAGGGAUUAUAAUGGGAAACCUACAUUCAAAGAUAUUCAUCAACAAAUGAUCCAACAUAGAAAUAAGAUUGUAUCUUAAAGGAAGUUGGGAUUCACAGAGAAAAGACAUUGGUUUGGUUUGGUGUAAGACUGGUGGUAUUGUUGCCUGGCUAAUGAAAUCAUUACAUUUGCAUUUUAAUGGAAAGUUGAAAUACUAAGGGGAGUUAUGUUCUUUUACAUGUUUGUAUAUGUGCUUAAUAAUGUUUGGAAUAGAAUAUAAAUUUAAACACAAUAAAUAUUGAUUUUUUAAAUGUUAAGCAGAGAACUGUUACUGAAGGGUUGGAUAAUCAAACUGAAGUUUAGAAGACAAUUUAUAGGAUUUAAAAAAGGAUAGAAGGAAAAACACAAUAACAGACAUUUCUCCAUAAGUCGAAUUUGCAAAACUAUUUGUCCUUGAUAGUUCACUUUGUAAUUUUCUGUUAUGAUCUUUGUUAAUUUCAUGUAGUUAAGUUUGCUUUAAUCAUUGAUACGCGGGGUUCCUUCACAUGAUUACAAGGGAGAAGCAUUACUUAUCUCUGUGGAAUAGAAACGGUUCAUUGGUUAGUUCUUAUUUGUCAAAAAAAAAAAAAAAAAACAAAAC